ACAAAACAUAGAUAGACCUCAUCAUAUUUCCCUCCACUUCCAUGCUUCUACAAAGAGUUUUGGCACAGAUAUAUGUUGCAGUAAAAAUAAAAUUGAAUUUCAUUUCCACAGAAAAGGUAACUGAAGGAGUUUUGUCUGAUCUCACACAAACACAUAUGCCAGAAGUCUCUCAGCAGCAGACCAGUGCAGGAUGAUGAAAAUGACCAGAAGAGUUGCAUGGUGCUGUGUAGCUCUGCUCUUUGCCCUAUCCUCUGUGUCAGCUGUGAAAAAGCUUGAUUCAAUUGAUGACUUGAAGAAAAUCGACUUUGGCCGGUCUGUGCCUGCACACAGUCUGGUGCUGCUCUACUGGUUCGCCCACACAGUGGACAUUGAUCAUAACCAGAUUUUAUGUCUGACCUUUAAUCCAGGAAAUAGAGAUUAUGGCUCACAUUACUACGGCAACUUCGAGGAACUGCUUGACACGCCUCCUAAUGGACAAAACUACUACACUGUUGGAAAUCUUAAUCAGGAAACGUCAGUUCCACUUCCAUCUUAUGUUGUCAAUACCAGGUCCCCGUACAUGGGGGAAAACAUGGACAGGAUCAUAAUUAGAGCCAGGGGGCAUAGGAUAGACCAAGUCUAUAUCACACAGCACCAGGGGAGAACCUAUAAUCCAGAUCAUACCUACCAGAUCACUACAAACCUCUUACGACAGAUCAGAGAGUUUACUGAGGGAGGGAAUGAUCAGACUCUGCAGUAUCUCAGGAACCGCCUCGGGAGUAACGCUAAUAUGUCCACAAUCAGAAACACGUGGGGACACCUUGCCUGCCUUGGACUGUUCUUGUGUAUUGUGAUGGAGAAAAGGCACCACUAUCACUUUCAGGAACAAAGUGGACGGCCACACGAGUGGAAUUGGAGCGCGGGAUCGGCUGCUAACUACACCCCAGCACCCCAAAAUGACGAUAUGUGCAUGAAAAUUCUGUUGGUUUUCAUCGUUGCUGUUGUUUUGAUAUUAUUGAGUGCAGCCAAUUAUCACAAGGAUAAGUAAUGUUCAGUACAGAUUCUGAAAUAAUCUUGAUAUAUUUGCUUGCUCUGGAGGGCUACAUCAGAAGAGGAGGUCUCAGGGUUUCAGUUUCUCCAUAGAAAAAAACACAAAUAUAAAACACAAAUACAGCCCCUUUAUUCUCCACUGUCUCCACAAAGGGCUCUAUGUGUCAUUUAGGGUGUUUUUCCACAGCAGGAACUUUACCCUUUGCUUUUCGACCGGAGGAGGAACCAAGGUCUAAAUUUAUUUCUGCGUUAGAAAAUCUCCCCCUUAAAAGCCCCUGCUUUGGGGUGAUACUUUUCAAAGGUACCAGGACUUUGGGGGGCGGGGCCAGCAUUGUUGAACAUCUCUGAUUGGUAGAUUACCUGCAGUGUUUUUAUUCCACCUACUGUCCACUUCAACAUCACACACACCUUUGUUUAAUCUUUUUUCUGUGUACUUUUAAGUUGUUAUAUUUACUAAAUAAUUUCUAUGUACUCAUCUGUUUAUAACCUUAUAGUUAAAAAUCAACAGAUAUGUUGUCAAAAAAAGGAUUUUGUUUGUUUGUUUGUUUUAAUGCACUGCUCUGCCAUCAUCAAUGCUCCAGUAUGUCUAAAUAACAGUAAUGACUCAAUGCUGAUUCCUUCUGCAACUGAUAGAGAUGAAGACAGUCUUACCUGAUAAGUUAAAGUUUUAAAGUGUGUCCUUUCUCUGAUAAUAUCCAGAUUUUAUAAACAGGGUUGUAAUUUUCUUAUGGUUGUUUUUUUUAUGUGAUGUGAGAAUUGUGAUAAUAAAUAUUUUGUUUUGUCA